rnacentral:RNase_P_RNA from 1 species
GCGAGUCGGCGGGUGGGCCACGGGGCUAUGCCCUGAGGAAGCUCCUCUCUCCGUGCAGAAGCGCGGUGUCGUGAGGCACAACCAGAGAUGGUUGGCAACAAAACAGAAACGAUAUCCCAACCAGGGUGUACGAUGAUAAGAUUCUUGAGAUUCCUGGGUAAGAGUGAAACGGUUGUCCCGCGUGGAGCAAGACCAAAAAGGGUCCAUGAGUUCUGCAUGAGACCUGGGUAGGUCGCUAAGCCGAAUCCCACCUAGAACAAAAAGAGGGCUACAGCCGACACGC